UGCAGACGUUCUCUUUCUGUGCUGUGUUCGGACAUGGCGGUCUCUGGCUCCUGGCAGAACUGUGAGGUGCAAUCCUCCGCCAUCCGCGCCUGCUGGAUGGCGUUCUACAUCGGACUGGUGACCGAGUCUUCCCGCAGCUUCUCGUGCAGCUGACCAGGUGUUAAGCCGGUGGACUGGCGGAGCUAUGCGGUUCUGUAUCUGUCCAGAUGUCUGAUGUGAAGAUGAAACGCUCCUUUAAGGAGUGCUUCCAGAAGCAUUGGGACCCAGAAGCUGAAUAACAUCAGACUGGGGAACAUCAUUCAUGGCUUCCAGGAAAGUUGGGACAAAUCAUGGCCACUGACCUGAAGUCUGGAAAUCCUGUACAGGCUGGGU